UCAGAUCAUUCAAAUACCUUAAGGUGAAGUGAAAUAGCUCAGGACCAAGUAGUAUUUGCAAACACGGUAUGAUAGUUUUACUGACUUGGGAAACACUAAGUUUAUCACAUCUGUGACCUCAUGCUGAUCUGAUAGCUAAACAGUCACCGUGACUCAUGCAACAGGGGAAAGACCCUACUUGCUCACCAGUUUUCACUAUUUGACAGUGAUGGCUGGAGUAAUGAGAUACUCAGAGAGGCAGCUGACCCUGUGUUGAUCAACCCAGCAUGCCUCGUGGAGGACUAGCAAGUGCCAACAGGCAUUACUUGAACUACAAGAAGAUCAUCAAGCAGCGAGAAUAUGCCUACAGAUCACCAUAUAUUGUUUACAGCACUUCUCCUCCAUAGGAUGUUUUCAUGUGGAUGUUCCCAGUGCUCAAGAAUUUGGAAAUAGACACAGUUGAGACAACUGACCUCAAUCACCCAAAGGGAUAUUCCAAGCCUUAUGAUGCCACCCC
rnacentral:lncRNA from 1 species